rnacentral:lncRNA from 1 species
CUGCCCGGUUUUAUAGCCCUGCUUGACCUGUGUGAUCCGAGAAUAAUCUUGUUUAAUCUCCACAAGUUUGAGGACUAAACUGGGUGCCACAGAGAAUUAAGUAACUGGUCGAGGUUGUAUCAGUAAGAAGGGAGCACGGAACAGAUUCAAGCUCAGGGAGCCUGGUUGGACUUCAGGCCCCUGUGAGGCUGACUCUGUAGUCCUGGAGAAACUCAACAGCCAGGAACUUAGGACCAUUUGUGUGUGGCAUUUGGGCUAACCAGACUGGUGGCUUCUAAAGAAGAUGGAAAGCAUCACGUUUCCUGUAUUUAAAUUAUUUGGUGAUCUCAAUACUGGUUGUUAGCCAAAGUACACAAUGGAGACAGCCUAUUUGCUCUACUACUUUUGAUGUAGAAAUAUUACUAAGCUUGAGCUGAUUAAUAGAACUGUUACACAUUUCUGUGCUCCCCUUACUGGUGGCAUGAAAUAAUUCUUUUAAAACCUGCCAUGUGUUCACAUUUAAAACUAAAAGUAAUUUAGAUUACAUGGAUUUGAGAAGCCCAUGUUGACACGUAAUUGCCAACAGAUGGGCUUUCAAAUGUAAUGAAGUGAAAAUGGUCAGUACCCCAUGUGUUGGAUUUUGCAAUUUUCCAAAGUAAGCUGUCAUUUUUGGCAUGUCAUGCUAGUUAAGAACACAAUGUAUUUAUAGCUCAAUUAUACAUUUUCUGAUGAAUUUGGCAUGGCAUUUUGUUUUUCCAUCAGUCACUUAAGACAGGACAUUUGCCAUUCCAAGAAUGAAUUAACACUCUUCUAAGUGAUCUAUAAACUGAGAUGUAAAAUAAAUUACAAAUUGGGACUGUUUUAGUUUUUCAAGCAAAGGGUGUUUAAAUAAAGCUUGAAAUCAUAAACCU